UACGAAGGGGGCUAGCGUUGCUCGGAAUUACUGGGCGUAAAGCGCGCGUAGACGGUUUUGUAAGUCAGAUGUGAAAUCCCCGGGCUCAACCUGGGAAUUGCAGUCGAGACUGCCCGGCUAGAGUGUGGGAGAGGGUGGUGGAAUUCCCGGUGUAGCGGUGAAAUGCGUAGAUAUCGGGAGGAACAUCAGUGGCGAAGGCGACCACCUGGACUGAUACUGACACUGAGGUGCGAAAGCGUGGGGAGC
rnacentral:rRNA from 1 species